rnacentral:lncRNA from 1 species
GCAUCAGAGGACAAUAUUAAGUCUAUGGGAUCCUAUAAUAAUCCUAUUACCAUAGGAUUACUAUGGGAUUUAAUAUUUCCAUAGACUUAAUACUGCCUUCUGAUGCUAUCAUCAAGUACAGCAAACAUUAGUAGUGAGAAAUCCAUAAAUUUUGGGCAUUUAUGACUUAUGAUGGUGGGAUGUGAAGUGAUUCAUGCUGUCAAGAGGUACCUGUAAUGCAUAGCCAGUUUUUCCAGUAUUCUAUCUUGUUAUCAUUAGCAGUAGCAUACACAAAAUCUUUGAUACCUUUUGGCCUCCCUCUCCCCCUCCAAAAACACAUAUGUUUUAACUUUCAAAAAUACAUUUUAUUUUACAUUCUGCAGCACUUAACAUUUAUGAAAUGUUCAAUAAAAUUGUACAUUUUGAUUUUAAUUCAGAUUAACUAUCU